GAGAAGGUUAACUCAGCCGGGUGUUGGAUGUCCCGGUUCGAGCGUGUAGACGUGCUGUUUAGGCAAAUCCGGACGGCUUAGUUGAGACGUGAUAACGCAACACUCCUCGGAGUGCCAAGUGAGCGAUACCAUGCUUCCAGGAAAAGCCACUAAGCUUCAGUUGAAUGAAGACCGUACCGUAAACCGACACAGGUGGGUAGGAUGAGAGUUCUAAGGCGCUUGAGAGAACUCAGGAGAAGGAACUCGGCAAAAUAGCACCGUAACUUCGGGAAAAGGUGUGCCCUUUGUAUGUGUAGCGCCUCGCGCGUGAAGCAGAAUAGGGUUGCAAUGAAAUGGUGGCUGCGACUGUUUAAUAAAAACAUAGCACUCUGCAAACACGAAAGUGGACGUAUAGAGUGUGACGCCUGCCCGGUGCCGGAAGGUUAAAUGAUGGGGUGCAAGCUCUUGAUUGAAGCCCCGGUAAACGGCGGCCGUAACAAUAACGGUCCUAAGGUAGCGAAAUUCCUUGUCGGGUAAGUUCCGACCUGCACGAAUGGCGUAACGAUGGCCACACUGUCUCCUCCUGGGACUCAGCGAAGUUGAAAUGUUUGUGAAGAUGCAAUCUCCCCGCGGCUAGACGGAAAGACCCCGUGCACCUUUACUGUAGCUUUACAUUGGACUUUGAUAACAUCUGUGUAGGAUAGGUGGGAGGCUUUGAAGUGGACUCGCUAGAGUUCAUGGAGCCAUCGUUGAAAUACCACCCUGAUGUUGUUGGGGUUCUAACCUAGAUCCAUUAUCUGGAUUGGGGACCGUGUAUGGUAGGCAGUUUGACUGGGGCGGUCUCCUCCCAAAUUGUAACGGAGGAGUACGAAGGUACGCUAGGUACGGUCGGAAAUCGUGCUGAUAGUGCAAUGGCAAAAGCGUGCUUGACUGCGAGACUGACAAGUCGAGCAGAUGCGAAAGCAGGUCAUAGUGAUCCGGUGGUUCUGUAUGGAAGGGCCAUCGCUCAACGGAUAAAAGGUACGCCGGGGAUAACAGGCUGAUUCCUCCCAAGAGUUCAUAUCGACGGGGGAGUUUGGCACCUCGAUGUCGGCUCUUCACAUCCUGGGGCUGUAGCCGGUCCCAAGGGUAUGGCUGUUCGCCAUUUAAAGUGGUACGUGAGCUGGGUUUAAAACGUCGUAGACAGUUUGGUCCCUAUCUGCCGUGGGCGUUGGAAGUUUGAGUGGACCUGCUCCUAGUACGAGAGGACCGGAGUGGACGCACCUCUGGUGUACCGGUUAUGACGCCAGUCGUAUCGCCGGGUAGCUAAGUGCGGAAGAGAUAACCGCUGAAAGCAUCUAAGCGGGAAACUCUCCUCAAGAUGAGACUUCCCGAGGGUUUAACCCUCCUAAAGGUUCGUCGAAGACUACGACGUUGAUAGGUCGGGUGUGGAAGCAUAGUAAUAUGUUAAGCUAACCGAUACUAAUUGACCGUGAGGCUUGAUCCU
rnacentral:rRNA from 1 species